rnacentral:lncRNA from 1 species
CCUCUGAUCCAAUGGUUGGAGAGGGUGUUCCUCAAAUCACUCACAGCCACACAAAGUCAUCUGGCCUCUAUAGAAAAAUCCAUACAAAGACUGACGUAGAUCAAGGGCUCAGAGAUGCUAGUCUGCGAACAACUUCGAUAGCUGAACUCUUUCUUCUUCUACAAGUACCUUGGAUACUCCAAAAUGAUAAAAGAUCUAGAGUAGGA